CGCAUCAGCUGUGUGGAUCUCGCAAGAAGAAGUUCAGCAGGAAAAUACCGAAAGUCCAGGUUUACCCAUCCAAUGUGAAAGUAGAAGAGGAUAUGCAAGGGGGUAUGAAUCCGGAGGGAGCACUAAAGGCCAAAGUAGCACAACAAAUCCAC